UUGUAGAAGCGCGCCGAAAGUCGUUAAGUGCGUGCCCACCCGUGCACCUGAGGGAUGGCGUUCGUCAAGGAAAAUGGUCACGGACGCCGGAUGUCAACGCACAGCGCGUGUGUCUUUGUUCAGCGUGUUAUCUUGUAGAAGCGCGCCGAAAGUCGUUAAGUGCGUGCCCAC
rnacentral:lncRNA from 1 species